rnacentral:tRNA from 1 species
GUUUUAAUAAUUUAAUAAAAAUAGGGGUCUUGUAAACCACAAAUGAGGGUACUCUUAAAACU